rnacentral:rRNA from 1 species
UACGAAUGGGGCAAGCGUUGUUCGGAAUCACUGGGCUUAAAGCGUACGUAGGCUGACUUACAAGUCAGGAGUGAAAUCCCAGGGCUCAACCCUGGAACUGCUUCUGAAACUGUAAGUCUAGAAUUCUGGAGAGGUUAGUGGAAUUCCUAGUGUAGAGGUGAAAUUCGCAGAUAUUAGGAGGAACACCAGUGGCGAAGGCGACUAACUGGACAGAUAUUGACGCUGAGGUACGAAAGCGUGGGGAGCAAAC